CAGUCGCCGCGGGAAUACGUAGGUGGCAAGCGUUGUCCGGAAUUAUUGGGCGUAAAGCGCGCGCAGGCGGAUCAGUUAGUCUGUCUUAAAAGUUCGGGGCUUAACCCCGUGAUGGGAUGGAAACUGCUGAUCUAGAGUAUCGGAGAGGAAAGUGGAAUUCCUAGUGUAGCGGUGAAAUGCGUAGAUAUUAGGAAGAACACCAGUGGCGAAGGCGACGUUCUGGACGAAAACUGACGCUGAGGCGCGAAAGCCAGGGGAGCGAACGGGAUUAGAUACCCGCGUAGUCCCUGUCUCUUAUACA
rnacentral:rRNA from 1 species